rnacentral:rRNA from 1 species
AACGAACGCUGGCGGCAUGCCUAACACAUGCAAGUCGAACGAGACCUUCGGGUCUAGUGGCGCACGGGUGCGUAACGCGUGGGAACCUGCCCUUAGGUUCGGAAUAACUCCCCGAAAGGGGUUCUUAUACCGGAUAAUGUCUUCGGACCCAAGAUUUAUCGCCUUUGGAUGGGCCCGCGUUGGAUUAGCUAGUUGGUAGGGUAAAAGCCUACCAAGGCGACGAUCCAUAGCUGGUCUGAGAGGAUGAUCAGCCACACUGGGACUGAGACACGGCCCAGACUCCUACGGGAGGCAGCAGUGGGGAAUAUUGGAAAAUGGGCGAAAGCCUGAUCCAGCAAUGCCGAGUGAGUGAUGAAGGCCUUAGGGUUGUAAAGCUCUUUUAACCGGGAUGAUAAUGACAGUACCGGGAGAAUAAGCUCCGGCUAACUCCGUG